UACGGGGGGGGCAAGCGUUGUUCGGAAUUACUGGGCGUUAAAGGGCGCGUAGGCGGUUCGCUAAGUCGGAUGUGAAAACUCUGGGCUCAACCCAGAGCCUGCAUCCGAAACUGGCGGGCUAGAGUUCUGGAGGGGGUAGCGGAAUUCCUGGUGUAGCGGUGAAAUGCGUAGAUAUCAGGAGGAACACCGGUGGCGAAGGCGGCUACCUGGACAGAAACUGACGCUGAGGCGCGAAAGCUAGGGGAGCAAACAGG
rnacentral:rRNA from 1 species